rnacentral:rRNA from 1 species
GACAGAGGCCUCGAGCGUUAGGCGGAAUCACUGGGCUUAAAGCGUGUGUAGGCGGAUCGUUAAGUACCUUGUGAAAUCCCACGGCUCAACCGUGGAACGGCUGGGUAUACUGGCGGUCUUGGGCCAUUCAGGGGCGACUGGAACAAGCGGUGGAGCGGUGAAAUGCGUAGAUAUCGCUUGGAACGCCAAUGGUGAAAACAGGUUGCUGGGAGUGUGCUGACGCUGAGACACGAAAGCCAGGGGAGCGAACGGG